AGCUCAAAUUUGAAAUCUGGUUCUCGGGCCCGAGUUGUAAUUUGCAGAGGAUGCUUUUGGCAAGGUACCUUCCGAGUUCCCUGGAACGGGACGCUAAAGAGGGUGAGAGCCCCGUCUAGUUGGAUGCCUGGCCUCUAUAAAGCUCCUUCGACGAGUCGAGUAGUUUGGGAAUGCUGCUCAAAGUGGGAGGUAUAUGUCUUCUACAGCUACAUACCAGCUAGAGACCGAUACCGCACAAGUAGAGUGAUCGAAAGAUGCAAAGCACUUUGCAAAGAGGGUUACAUAGUACGUGAAAUUGCUAAAAGGGAAGCGCUUAUAACUAGACAUAGGGGUAUUUACUCACCUAGUUUUUUGCUAGGGCACUUAGGUCUAGGCUACCAUCGGUUUAUAAGAGAUAAAGAUGCUAGGAACGUAGCUCUCUGCGGGUGUUAUAGCCUAGUAUGCAAUGUCUUAUAUAGACUGAGGUCUGCACGUAAGGAUGCUGGCAUAAUAGUUAUUAGUGACCCGUCUUGCAACACGGACCAAGGAGUCGUCCUCGUAUGCAAGUGUUUGGGUGGUAAACCCCUAUGCGAAAUAAAAGUGAACGUAGGUAAGAGCCCUGGUGCAUUACCGACCGAUCCUGAUGUUCUUGGAUGGAUUUGCGUACGAGCAUACGGGGCCGGACCCGAAAGAAGGUGCACUAUGCCUGCGUACGGUGAAGCCAGAGGAAACUCUGGUGGAGGCUCGCAUCGGUUCUGCCGUGCAAAUCGAUCGUC
rnacentral:rRNA from 1 species